UACGGAGGGGGCUAGCGUUGUUCGGAAUUACUGGGCGUAAAGCGCACGUAGGCGGCUUUGUACGUUAGAGGUGAAAGCCCGGGGCUCAACUCCGGAAUUGCCUUUAAGACUGCAUCGCUAGAAUUGUGGAGAGGUAAGUGGAAUUCCGAGUGUAGAGGUGAAAUUCGUAGAUAUUCGGAAGAACACCAGUGGCGAAGGCGACUUACUGGACACAUAUUGACGCUGAGGUGCGAAAGCGUGGGGAGCAAACAGG
rnacentral:rRNA from 1 species